AGGCACGGGCGGAGGCGGGGGAGCUGUUAAUUGUUAAUGGCUCAAUAAUGCCUUUCAAUAAUUCCGGUUUUUUAUUGACUCGUGUCAUCCGCCGCGCGCAGAAGUUUAUUCAGGGCAGUGCCGGCACAUCGCUCACCAUCAGCGUUAGCUUUGCGAGCCGCUUCCAGCUUAUACUUGAAAAUAUAUCUGUGUGUGUGUGCGUGGGUAUAUAUAUAGGUAACAGACAGGGCUUCUUUGGCGGUGAGGCGGGAGGUGCCGCUCUGCCCUCGGCCAGGGGGAAGCGGGCGAGGCGAUGGCCGCGGUGGCUGUGUAAACCCCAGCUCGGGGGCGAGGAUUAGCGUAAUGUGCGCCAGACAUUCCUCCCGCGGAGAUGCUGGCCGGUGCUGAAUGCGGCCGUGUCUGUGUGAGGCGAGGGAGUUUCCUGCUUUAAAUCACCGAGCAGGCUCCGGCUGGGCGUUCCCGCUCCCGCUCGCUGCCCUUUUUUCCUUCCCCCUCAAUGAGUGUCCUUUGUGUAACCCCGCUAAUUCAGAAAAUUCUCCGCCGUAAUUGGAACUGCCCCGUCACGUGGCCGCCGCCCGCCGAUUGGCCGCCCUUAAUUGGCGGGUCGCUAUAAGAGCGGAGCGCGGCGGCGGCGGGCGCUGCUCCGCGCCGCUCCCGCGGCCUCGCCGUGCGCCGGGCCUCACCGCCCCUCAUCGUCCCUCAGCGUCCCUCACCGCUCCUCCCGGGAGCCGCCUGUCCUGUCAGCGGGGAGCGCCGCCGGGCUCGGGUGAGUGCGCAGCGCAGCCGCGGCAGCGCCCGGCCCGCGGAGCCGGGGCGCACCUGUGGGGCGCGGGGGGAGCGCCGCGGCCGCUGCCCGCUCCCCCCCCUCCUCCUCCCGUGGGCCGGGGGGAAGUUCCUCGGAGGUUUCUCGGAACCCCGUCUGGAUAAAAGUACCCCAGCACGUGUGUCUGCGACUUCCUUGUGGCGGGGAAACUCCUUUCUCCUUCCCCGGGGGUGGGAGCGGGACGCGGCGUUCAGGUGCGGGUGGCGGUGGGCGAAGGAGGGUCCCCGGGGGCUGCGGGCGCUGGAGGUUCGCUUUGCCAUUGUUUUUUUCGCGUGUGGAAACUGAAGUGACUUUAAAUCACGAGCUAAGCGUGAUCGCUUUGCGUUCUGCGUGUUAAAACUAGAUAUAACUUCCCACGUGCCUGUUACUUAAUAUCCUCUCAGUGUUUAGGGGAAAAAAAAAAAGUGAUGUUCUUCAGAGGCACAAUUCUGUUCAAAGUAGAAAUAGCGUGUUCUAUAAAUAUAUAGUUAUUCAGAAUGUUGGUUUUUUACAAGACUUCUGAAUAUAAUGUGAUCCUAAAAACCACAUUACCGUGUGAGUGUGUAUAAAAAACCUUUCUUUCAAUUAUUUUUAAAUACUGUACAUUAAUUGCUACAUUGAAAACUGCCUGUAAGUCAUAUGGGAAAUAGUAGUGUCUGUAAUACAUUGUAGACCUUGUGUUUGCUCAAUAAGUAAAGAAUGAAUAUAUUAUGUGGAAAUUACAACCUGUGUUUCAGAUUUGCUGUUCAACUUUGUAAGCUUUAAUUUUACUUUCUUUUUGAGCUGUAACUUAUUCAACAUGCGCUUGGAAAGAUCUUUGGUUACAGGUUAAAAGGUGUCAUGCUCUUCGCUGUUGGUUCUGAUGCAUAAAACGCUGCUUCUUAUUUUUAAAUCUCUUGCUUUCAUCUGUCUGAAAUUCCUAUGUGAAGAUUUUUCCAAAAAGGGAAAAAAGAAACUAGCUCGUGUUGAGGUUACAUUUCUGUUAUGAAGCUUUUCUUGAUUGUUCAAAGGCCUUUCUCUCUUUCCUUAUACAAUUUUCGGAAGCUCUUUGAACAAUGCUGUGUAUAAAAAUAGAGCUCAAGGUUGUUGUGUAGCUAAAUUUAUUGCAAAAACGAGUAGGAAAUGUCUAAUAAGAGCAGCAAUAAAAAGAAUAGAUGGUGAGAUAAACGUAUCUUCCAGAGGCACUCUGGCUUCACCAUUCGGGAAGAGCAUAAUCCAGUUUGUGCUGUUGGAGUCUCCUCCUUAGCUCAGGUGUGGCUGGGCACCAUCUGAAGGAAAUAUUCUGUUUUCAGGCUUGAGCACACGGCUCUGAGGUUCUGUGAUUGUGGUGGGGCUGGGGAGCAGCUCCCUGCAGCUGGGUACGUUUUUACUUAUAGAUUUACCAAUUAAAAUUCCAGAGGAAGAAUUCAUAAGGUUAGCAUUCUUCCCAGAGGUCCCCCCGCUCCCUUCCCCCCACUCUCCCAAAAAUAAAAAGCACAUACUACUCUGUUUAAGUAGUCAGUGCUUGAAAAAAAUGUGACUGUAGUCAAUUUGUUGUCUAUUAUUAAAAUGAUCGGUCCCCUCCCACGGGGUUUUGCUCACCUAUUUUGAAAUACUUGUAUGAGGUGAGGGCUGACUGAUUUAAGCAUAAGCUGAAAUUUUGAGAAUUAAAUAAACAUGUUCUAGUCAAAUUCUGUUUAGAUCAUGUCUGUUACUUGUACUUUGGUUUGUGUCAUACUGUUGACUGUUCCAGUUUAUUCAUUAAAAAAAACCCUUACGUUUUGUCGUAUAUGAUCUCAUGCAAAACCACAUUUUGCUCUCAUUCUGCUAGUAAGUUUUUGCUGUCUGAUUUCUGUGAGCAUAUGUAAUGAAAAUAUUUGUUUUAAAAAAGAAAAUGCCUGGAAUUACAAAAUGCUUUGGGGGAAUCUGAAAUUUUAACUGCAACAAGUAAAUUUUGUUAUGUGUCAUAAUAACAGUUCUUACUGAUUAUUGCUAGUGGUGUUGCCUGACUGAUGUAGAGAAGGGCAAAUAUGGGAAACAUGAGGAAUGCAUAAAAUUAGCUUUUCUCAGAGGGAAGGAUUGUUGUAGUUAUGUGUCAGCUUAGAUGCUGAAAGGGUUAUGUGGCUGGUUCACCUAGGUCCCUGAUUUAUUCAGUUGUUUGGUAGCACUUUGGCGGUGUGUGAAUUUUGUAAAAUAUUUUGAUUGUGUGGACAGCAAGACAACGUGGGGAUACAUACACAUGUGUGAUAGAGCAGCACUGAAUGGUGACACCCAGAAUUGUCAGCUAGCAGCAAGUUCCAGACUCAUUAAUUUGGAUGUUCUUAGACCAUGUGCUGGUGCACAUCACAUUCCUCUCCUCUUUCACACAUAACACACACCGACCUCCUAGAUAUCGAUAACUUUUUGUGACUAAAUGGGUUUUUUGCGUGAGAGAAUAGAAAUUGUUAUAAUAGCUACAGUGAGCCGUGGAAACUUCAAAUGUGUGUUGUACCACCCUCACCCUGGAGCAUCUUGGACGGGUUGUGUUCCAUAGAUCAUGUCAGUGUCUGAAUAACACACGUGCACACUCCCAAGUGUGGCAGUGAGGAGUUGCUUCUGGCAGCACCAAGGUUCCCUGUCUCUUAGAAAUUACUCUUUCCCCUGCCCAGGAAUUGAGGGUUGGGUUAGCUGCUGCACUUCUAGUUAGCCUUAACUUAGGGAAAGAUUUUUAUAGGCAAGGAUGCUUGUUUCCAGUCCCUGAAGAUAUGUUACAUUUAUUAAGUGGCAAAGGAAGGAGUUGCCCUUUAAAUUACUUUUCUUCACUGCAGUUAUUUGAGCAAUUUUUUCCCCUUUAUAUUCUAGUUGUGUUGAUGUUUGAAAACUGUUUCUUUAUGUGGAAUCUGUUCUCUACAAAUGCAGAUCCACUUUCUUCAUCUAUCUGUAAUAUUAAUACUGCAGAUAGUUCUUCUGCCCCUAUACUUGUUAGAAAUGCAGUGUAACAUGAUUGAAAGUAGUUUUCUUUGGGGGUUGUCAUGUUUGAUUUGUUCUUAAAAAUUAUUUGACACAGCUGAAAAGUUGAGCUGGUAUUACGUAUUUGCAUGGGAUUUGUGAGAAAGAUGAGACAUCUUUAAAAAGACAUGUAUAAGAGACGUAGCAAUUUUAUAGUCUUAUGAUAGGCUGUUAAUAUUUCUUUAAAUGUCUUGUUGAAAAUCCUCAACACCAAUAAAAAUAACUUAAGCCUAAGCUCCUGCAUGGACAGACAGAGGUGGAGUGCAUAUCUAAAUUCUCCUGUCUCCUACAUAUGAUAAAUAUAAUAUAUCAUUGGUUUCAGUUCAUAAUGCCAGAGCAUCAUCAUCAACUCAUUUCUGUGAAGAUCUGGUGUUGCUCAUAAAGGCUGAUGAGCAAUAGAGAUUUAAAUCAAGUGAUUUACUGGUACAAAUAGCAGUAUCUUAAAAGUUCAACAGUCCCAGGACAGAAAAUCUGCUUUUAUAGUUCAGCUGGAUGAUGUAAAGUUCAAGAAUGAAUUGACUCAAGCAACCUUACUGAGUUGCAGGAUGGCUUUGAAGUUGAUGAUGGAGUGAUGACCUACAAAUUGUUCUUUCACUUUCACACCAUCUGUCUGGCACAUAGGAGAUUCUCUGGACCAUCAUCCUGCCCAAAUGGUUAGGCUGACAGUUUUUAAGCAGAUCCUCUGUGUUUCUGACUUGUUCUCAGAGAUAACUGACACAGCCCUGUUGUGCAACUCCCAGCAAAGCUUUGCCUUGUCUAGGCUUGCCUAACAAUACAGAUGCUGCUGAAUCUGACAAUUCCUGGUGAUAAAUUUGAAUUGAAACUAUUUGUCCAAGAUGAACAGUUUAAACCUCCUUUUCAAGUUUGUGUACUAUUAUAUCCCUGCAACGUCUCAAAAGUCACAUCAUCGUGUUGCCUGAACAGAUUUGAAAAGGUGGGACUGGGUGUGGCACACAGGAGAAUACACUCUCCUAAAAGUUAUUCUUUUUUUUUGAAUUGGCUUUCUUUAUAAAGGUGAAAACUUAUGUUUUUGACUAUCAUAUACAACAGUCAGAUAUGCUGUUGUAAGCAUCCAAGUUUAGGGAAGAAGCUCUAGCUGUUCUUUUUUAAAAAAUAGAGUAUAUUGGCACAGCUCAUACUAUGUAUUAUAAGAUGGAGUAUUGAGCCAGGGAAACUAAUGAUCUGACAGAAUUAUUGCCUAGAAACACUGUGCAAGCAGCAUGUUUCUCAAAUAGAAAUACUCAUGACUUUUUGUAUAGCCCUGUUCAGAUUCUUCCCUACUUCUAAAAUAUGUUUUAUUUUCCUGCGAGAGCACAAGUGAACUCUAGAACAUCUCAGCCAUCAAGAAGUAAGUUUUCUAGGCCAAGCUCUUACUUGUGGCUGUGUCCAUGUUGAAACUUUCUGGUUGUCCCCAAAGAUUUGUGUAGAGGGAGAACAAAACCCCCUUCAUUUUGAAUAUGUCAGCUCUUUCUUGUGUUACAACAGUGCAUGCUUGCUUUUAGUACUAGGCAGUGAUGCAACCCUCCUAGUGAAUCUGCAGACUGGAGUUAUUCCCUGCAUCAUGAGAUAAUCAAAGUCAACAUCCUGAAAAAAAAUUGUGUUUGCCUUCUAAUGGUCACUCUGCACUGCAUCUUUACAAUAACUCUGCCUGCUCCAUGUGCAAGUACCUUUCUGCAGAAUUUUGGGCUUCUUUUUGCACAUCAGUCUCUGCUCUUGAAAAGUUAUGCUCUGUAGUUAUUAUGUGAUGAGAUUUGUCUGUUUCAUAAUCAUCUUGAACCAGAUGUUUCACUUUUCUUCACCAUCAGAAAUAUCUCCUAUAAAUAGAUGCAUAGUGCUGUACAGUUUUGUAGCUGUCUUGGUCAUGGUGAAACUGCAUGUUUAUAAAUCAGUGCUCAUUUUAAGAGCAACAUCUGGUCUAAAUUUUGUAGCCAGCUGUUCACACCUUAAGGAAAACAUCACAGGUCUGGAUGGCUUGUGAAUAAUUAAAUAUUUGUAUUUUACUAAUCUUUUGAUGCCCUUGUCUAACAAGUUGGGCAAUACACCUGAAAUGAUUUCUAUUGGCAACACUUUUUAUUCUCUACCUUCAUUGCAAAUACUUGGAGUACUUGUUCAUUUGAGAGGCCCAUUUUGCUUUGUCUUUUUUAUAUAUAUUAUUUGCUUUGUCCUUUUUUUUUUUUUUGUCCUACUAUAUUUGGAGGGGAGGGAACAGAUAUUAAAACCCUGAAUAACAACAUUUAAAAGAACAGACUUUUAUAAUGCUUAUACCUAAUACUACUUUAAAUUUCAAGGUUAGUUAAAAAUGAUACUGUGAUAAGGCUCAGCAUUUGGAGAUGUGCUUUACUGAAUGGGAUUUGAAUGCUUUGAAUGGGAGAUGAUCACAUUCACGUGACCAUGUGAUAUAAUUCUUGGUUUUGUGUAAAAACUGGAGGUGUUUGCCAGUAUCUACCUGCAGAUACAAAGGGGAAGCUUGUGUGCUAGCAAGUUAGGAUAAAAAGGGUGAAAAAAUUUGGAAUAUGAGGGAGAUUUGACCAUUCUGAUUGUUUCAGGAGGAAUCUGUGGAAAUUAAAAGAAUUGAAAAUUUUAUGGGUUUUGAACUAUUUCCUUGAUUCAUUUAACAUGUGGGAAGAGUCAACUUUCAGGCAAAUCUUACAAGUUGUAUCCAAAUUCACUAAUUAGUAAAAUGAUAGCCUUUGAAUGGAGGAGAUCCUCAUGUAGCAUCAGCAAAUAUUUAACUCCUCAGACCUAUGGCUUUGGUUAAGCUUCUGGAUGAAUUAAUGAAUAUGUAAAUAUUCAUCAUUAAUGAUUAUGUUUGUAGCAUCACUAAUUACUUAUCAGUGCACAAGUCUUUUUAAAUCAGUUUAGCAUGUCUCUUGUAAAGCUUGAGCAUGUUUAGGUGCCUGAUAAAGCACUGACUUCUCAGUAAGUAAAUGAGGGUAAAAGUGUUUUGUUGGAUGUGUUUUAUGUUUGCUAAUAGCAAUCAAUAUGCACUGUGCUUACAAAUAUACUUCGUUUUGGGAGCCUCCUCUUGACAUAGUCCCUAAUGACUGAAAAAAAUUAAGAUUAUCAUCAAUAUUAGUGCUUCCAAUUUGCCUCUAACAGCAAAGCCAGCCUCCAGGGUGUCACUCCCUAAGCAGGCAGGUGUUUUGCCCUGUGCAGUGGCCCAGGGGUGAAGUGCCAGGGUGCCCCUGAGCAGGGCUGAGCUGGAGCCCUGGCCCGGAGAGCUCCGCGCCUCCUCCGAAAUUCCUCAGGGGAGGAAGGAGUGGACGGGAGGCCUCCCUCCCCACAAGCAGCUGUGGAAUGAGGAUGAAAUCCAAUGUUUAUUCUUUCUCCCGGAAACUAUAGGAAAUGCAGCACUCACGUACAUUGCAUAAUAGUGUUUGCAGUUGUGAUAGGGAAAGCCUGAGUAGGGCACGAGAAGAGCAAGGUGUUAGAAACUCUGUGUUCCAGGAACAACCACAGUGUGGACUGGGAAGGUCUUAAGCUGCUUUAUCAGGGAACUGAUCCUUGCUGAAGAGAUUCUGAGCAUCCUUAGAAGAUUUUUUUGCCUUCCUUUAGUAGGUGCCAGCUGAGCUGAGCUGCAGUGCAGUGUCUUGGGAGCAUCUGUUGGUGCAAGCAGACAGGAGGAUGUGCCUUGUGGCUGGGGAGAGGAACUGGAAGUUGAGUGGCUGCUUUGUUUCCACUCUGCUGCUUGCUUAGCCCAAGCAGUCUUUCGGUGGAAGCUGUCUGUGAUUUAUGUAUUUUCUAAAGGAGUUGCUCACUUGAUUGCUGUAGUGGCCACUGUUGUCAGCUACAGGAGUGUGGCUCUGCUCUGUGCUGCUCAGAUGGCUGAGAAGUUGAAAUGACUGAUGAUACCCAAUCUUCACGUACAGAGCAUAAAAAUUCAGCCCUUUGUCAGGCAGGUGUAGUGUGAGCUUGUCUCUCGCUGGUGACACUGCUUUACGUGGGAGAUCACCUGCCUGGCUGGAGCUGCUCAGAAACUGCUGAGCUAUAUCAGGCAGGUCUCACUAAAGCCUUCUUUAGUACAGCAGCUGGAGAAGGCAAAACUCUGUCACAUUCAGAAAAUCAAAGUGCUUUCCUCCCAACUGGCUUAUGACUGUAGGAAGAAUGAAGCUCUGAGGCUCUGAAAUCAAUUUACAAACUUACUGAAAGUCUGCUGGUGUCCAGGUGAUGCUCCAGGUUGCAGCUGCCUUAUUGGUUUUGUUCAGCUGUUUCCAGUAGGCUGAAUGAAGGGGAGGAAUGGCUCUUUCCUGAAUGUGGAAGGUGAUGUCUUCCACUAGGUGUGUCAGUAAUAGCAGCAAGGUAGGAGAAACCUUUGUGUAAGAAGAAACUGAAAAGUACCACUUGUUUCUUGUACCACAAAAGAAAGCUCUUAUGACUGUUACCCUAUCUAGGUGCUCUUUCUUGUCAAUGAUAUGUUUUAGUACCAUUAUUAUAUAACUAAAAUUCCCCUGAAAACAUAUAUGGCUCAUACUCUAGAAAACGAGUACAGAAGGUGGAAAUGUAUUUGAAUCAGACGUCUCUAAUUGCCUCUUAAGUGUGAAAUACCGUGGCAUGUCUUGCUCUUCUGUCAGGAUUCAUCUGCUUGGUUACCUGAUCUGGUAGGGAGAGGGAGGAAAAAAAACUGUAUUAGCAAGAUGAGUGCUGUAUUUUCCCCAGGAUUUUCUGCCCAAAAGGUUGCAUGUUGUAGCCAGAAUGCCCCUCAAAUUUGUAACUUCACGGACUGACUUGUUUGCUUUGAACACUUCCAAUAUGCUUUUGCUGCCUGACAAAUUUGCCUGCUGUAACUUUCUUAUUCUAUGGCUGAGGUUAAAAGAAAUGCUGUGGUGGAGGAGCAGUGUGCAAUUCAAUACCACAGAAGUAUCAAUUAAAAGGUUCCUGGAUAUGGGCAAGGACACUUAAUCAAAUAUUCAUUUAGGGGAGGGGGGAAAACCCCCCCAAAAAAGUUUGUAUGUUAUAGAUAAAAUUGCUUCUUCAUGAUAGCCCAGAGAGCCAAACCCAUGGGGAAAACUAUUCCUGGGAUGUCAGGUAAAUCUGCUUUUAAAGGGUUGCAUUCAGUAGCCCAGUGAGGUGGGAGCAGUGAAGGUUCUGAUGGAUAUUCAGAGCAGCAUAGUUCUGUAGUUAAAUCAAAGGUGUUUUCUACCACCUGGAAUCCCUGUUUUACUUUCCCUGAAAUAUUUGGUGCAGAGUUAAUUCUUUGGCAUCUUAUACUUGGAAGUGUAAUUUCUAUGGAAUUUCAGAGAUGGGUCUUAUGCUUCUGGGAUGUGCUGAUAACCAAAAAUUGUUAAAAGAACUUUCUUAGCAGACACCUUGAUUUAAAAACAACACACCCACUUCAUUGUGAUGCUAUUCAGGGAAAUGAUUCAGUGCAGUUUCAGUGGGUUUAAACAAUGGCCUAGUGGCACACCUAUUUUGUAGAAAGCAGAGUUUUAAAUGGGAUGCCUGUUUUCUGCAAGUCUAUACAUAGCUAACAGCUGCAAGGUGAUACUCAGUGGUAUCUAUGUCCUGUACAGAGCUCUUCUCACUGCAUUCAAUUUUCCCAUGCACUGAAGGCUGCUGAGUGAAUUGGAAAUAUUGGAAUGAUUUGCUGGUUCCUUCAAGUUUUGCUUUCAGAACUGUUUUAUCUUGUGGUAAAACAUAGCUAGGGCUGAGUUGAUUCACACACAGUAUAUGCAGCUAAGUCCAUUUUAAAAGGUAUACUUGGUUUAGGUUCCCCCCCACUCUACACACCAUCUGUAAUAGCAUAACAGCUUAUUUAUCUUUAUCUCUUUGUUCAUGGCUAGUUUGAGUUGCAAAUAGUAAAAUACUGAGGACAGCUCACAGUGUGGAGCUCAGCUUGCAGUCCUCAGUUCUGUGCAUAAAUUUGUGUUCAGAAGCAGGAAUAGUAGAGCUGAGGCUGACAGUGAGUGGCAGGCUGCAGUAAUAAAGAUGUGUGUGAGCACACCUUCAUGCUGAGCACUGGUGUGUCAGGGCAGAAUCCCAGUCUGGAGUCUCUCAAAUUCAAUGUGAACUUUGCCUGCUUUAUCCCUGCCCACGUGCACCUCGGGCUCGCAUCUGAGUGUGACUGUGCAGUGCAUGGGUACUGUACAAAUGAGUCAGUUCCUGUUCCUUUGGCUGGAGCUUCGUUAGGAGUUCUCAAAAAAGUAUUUCAGAAUGUGGAUGUGGUCAACACAGUCAUUUUCCAGGCAUCUUAAAGGAAACCCACAUCAACUGUGAAAGUGACCUUUUAACUCCUCUGUCCUGCCACUGUCAGAGCUCAGGCAGUGCUGGAUGGGAAGGCUGGUUUGCUUCCAUCAACAUCUUCCCUCACAAUUUGCACUUCUUGCCAUUUGGAUUAAGUGCCUGGUUAUUCUUCAGGAGAAUUUCCUAUAGCAUGACUGAUCACUGUUGGUACUACACACAUAGUUAGAAACAGCUUCUGACAAACUCUGGGUCAUAUUUGGUUCUUCACUCAGUAUUGAAAGCAGUUAAAACCAUUAGAACCUGUAGUGUUAUUUCUUAGUUCUUAAGGCAGAAGGUGGUGAAAAACACUUGUACUGCAUCUCCUGGGGUUUAAUAUAGAGCUUCAGCUAAGUAAGUUCUCUUGAAGGCAUCAAUUAUUAAGAGUCUCUUUUUUUGAGAUGUCAGAGGGAUUACUUUCACUGAAAAUGUCUGCCUUGUACUAUGAAUCUCUCUCUAUUUAGAAUGACUUAUUUUUAAACAACUUCACCAGAGUCUUCCUGCCUUAUACCAUUUAUUUAUUUUUUUUUACUUGUAAUGUUUGUGUUUAUGUGCACCAGGAUCUAGGCUCUGAAUGGUAUUAUCUACAACAUUACUAUUUUAAUGUUCUUCCUUUACUUUACUGGUAAAUGCAGCUCUGCUAUCUAAUUGUCAUCUUGUGCUGAUGUUUGUGCUCCUGCACUGCUCUGGAUUUCCCAGCUAUCCAGUGAUGCUGUGUGAGGCACUCUGCCAAGAGUAGGGAGAUUCUUCCCUUGGGAGCCUUUGGAAGGCUGCUGCAGUGGGAUGGCAAGGCAAGUCUCCAAAUGGGAACAUACUCUUCAUUUAGAGGCAAAUGCUGCUACCAGAUGAUGGGAAAAUGCUUUGAACCUGUAUUGGAGGGCAGAAUUCUCAGGUCUCUUCUCUGGAAAUCUGUGCAAUAUUUUCAGUGCUGACUUUGCUGUAUAGUUACAAAACAAUUAGACUGGAAAAGCUGUGUUAUCCAUAACUCUGAAGCUUGUGAGUGACUCUGCUUUAUUAGUAAAGCAUUGAGCCUUCCUUACAAUAUUUGACAGGAAAAAGGACUUUUGUUGCACUACCUUGUGUUCACAUCAGUAGUUGUGAAUCUCUUAUGGGCAGAGGGAUAAAAAGACUUACUCUGAAUCCGAUCAUGCCAUUAGCAGACACAGAAUGGAGAGUCAAGGGUGCCUGUCAUCCUUGCUGCCUAUCAGAAAUAUUCAUGCAUCUGUUUUUGUUUGGGUCUCCUCACCCAUCUUUAGAAAGGAGUGAGACUGGCUUUUUGAUAGUAGUUCUUGUGUUACUGCUAUGCAUUACAAGCUGUCAGGCUUAACUAGACUUUACCUGAUGAUUUAUCAGUAUAAAUUUACCUGGUGUUUUUAAAAUUUUUUGAUAAUAUUUAGAAUUUUAACAGCUGUUAUGCUACAAAGGCAAUAUUUCCUUCAUUUGAUAUUAGGAAUAAAAGUAUGCAGUGUGUGAUCUGAAUUUGAUAUGGCCACAUUUCAGUUCUAUUAAAUUUAAGUUUUCUCAAUGUCAUCUUGACCUGUAAUAGGAAUCUAGUUCUAAAGGCUUUGCUUCAAAGAUUAAAUUUAAUUGCAGUAAUGCAUCUGACACAUUCCUGACUGUUGUACAGUAUUUUGCAGUGAAUGUUACUUUCCUUGUCCAGGUAACCUUGCAUUUAGAUAAACUACUGUGCCUGAAUAUAGAAUUCUGCCACUUAUCUUCUGUGCUUAUUGCAGAGAUUGCUACUGAUAUGUCUCUUUUUAGACCAACAAACCAUGUAGUGGCACACUUAUGUCAGUGUGUCUUGCAGCUGUAGAGAGAUGGAGACCACUUCACUAGUGAAACAAAUCUCCUUUCUGCAGUGCAGUCCUCGUUUACAAUAUUGAUGCAAACACACCUGAAAUGGUUGGUCUGUGUCCUCUGCUUCCUGAUUCAAACUUAAGUUGGCUUUGAGUUUUGCCCUUUUGAAAUGCUUGUAGUGUUCUGAUGUACCCUAAGUCUCUGGGUUGUUUGAUCAUCCCUGCUGUCCUGGACUUGAAAACCAUACCUUUAAGAGAAUAUUCUGCUGUCAUCUGUUCAUGCUGCAUCUCUGAUUAUGAAAAAGCCCUUUUGGGCAGAAAGUUGUUGAGUUGGAGUAGAUCUGAUUCAAAAACGCUCUGUUGUUUAUUCUAGUGUACUGUGGCUAAUUUAGUACUUGAAUACCUUAAAAUUACUUGGAAUAAAAAAAGCAAACAAUCCCACAGAACCCUUAAAACUUCUCAGAGGAAUGACCAGGACUUGCUCCUGCUCUGCAGAGGUGUUUCUAGGAGGAAGAAUAGAUAAUGCUUGUUUAGAAUAGAUGUCCUAUGAAUUAGCUGAAUUUAACAAUGGCUAAUGAGUGGGCAUUGCAGUAAGUCAGACUGGGUGAAAUAGGGCAGGUAUAGCCUGGGUUUCUAUAAUACAGUUUGCUUUGAGCUGGUGUUGUAAGCAUGUGUUGGGAACCAGGAAUAAUGGCUUUUCAGUGGAGUUCUCCACUUGGAACCUGUGGUCACACACUCCUGAAGCAGUGCUCGUUCAAGCCACAUCAAGAAUGUCAUGAGAAGCUCCAGUUAAAUCUGCUGUUGUAACACAGUGUUCAUAACUCUCCAAGAGACCUUCUCAAAUUGCAGAAUGAGUUUCAUCACUGUCUGCUGCUACACACUGUUGUGGUGGGGUGUUAAUCUCAAAGCUUUGGUAGCAGAUACUGUUUAAUACACAGCUCAAAAGUGAGACCACCUUAUGAUUGCUGUGGUCUGCUGUUUUGCCAUAUCCUGAACCUAUUAGCAAUCCAUACAAGAUUAGAUAUUACUGGUAUUCCAUACUAUCCAGGAUUUCCCUUCAAGAGGCCUUGUUCAAACCCACUGGUAUUCUUGUCCUUAUUCUUCUCAAUAUUGUGAAUUCCUGUCACCAUAGUCACUGCUUGCCCUGAAUAAAUUUGCCUUCUUCAUUGUAAGGUCACCUUGGUGAAGGACAAUAUUUCUUCUUGUUUGUCCUGGAUAUAUUUUGAAUUUUUGGGUAUUCCUGAGAUUCUUGAGAUAUCCCAAUUAAUUGGAUACUUGAGUGAGUUACUUUUCUGUUCUUUCCAGUCACAUCUUACACAACAGUCCUGGGCUAAUUUUUGCCUUUUUCUUGGAGAUGGUCUAAAAACAGUCCAUGUUACGGAAAAACUGAAAGAUAAUCUUGGCAAGAUUCUGAGUGGGUAAAACAGCCUAGAGAUUGUAUCUACCAUGAGAGAAGAAGCUUCUCCAGCUGGUGCCUCCUCUAUUCGGUUUUGUGGGAGUUGUAUCACUUGCACAAAAUAUUUCUAUAAGUUCCGUCUUCUUUUCCAGGUUCUGUAUUUCCCCCUUUGAAAAAAAGUGGUAAAGUCAAAGUUAAAUUUUAAUAUCAUAAUGUGCUCACAUGAAUUUUUUGACCUACUAAGAUUGUGGGUUUGUGGUUUUUCUUCAGGAUCUUAUUUGAGACUUACCCUAGACUUCUGUGCCUUUUUAGCAUAGUUACAGUGACAUUUUCUAGAAGUUUAGUGAUCAGCAUUCCCUGUGUACAAACUGCUUUUGCACUGAUGGAUGCAGCCCCAUGUUUUGGCUACCUCUUAAUUAUCUGUAUGAUGUCAAGCAUGAGAGGGCACUGGGCUCUGACUUGCAUGUGUCACUCAGUUAGUUAGUGGCCUUAUGACCCAACUCAGCUGGUGGCCCGUGUCACACAGUCCCAGGUCCAAACAGGCCUUUCUGCUGAAAUGCUUAAAGAAGGUGAAGCACUACUGACAGCCAUCCCUCUCCCUUGCUAAGGCACUUGUUUUGUCCUUAUUUACCUGAUCACUCCAGUGAAGUGUGUGUGGAUUUAUGUGGAAGGAGCAGGGGGUCUUCAUUUAAAUGGUUGUUUCAGUAAAACACAGUUUUGUUUUUUCCCUAGGGAUCCUUAAUUCUCUGUAUGCUUUAAAACUUCUCUGCUGGUAAAGCUAGAACUGUGUGACUGCUUCCACAGUGUUCCUGGGAGUACCAAUUUGGAAUAAGAAUCUUACUAACUUUGAAAGCGUUGAUGCCACUGUCCCUUACACAUCACUAUUCCUGUUUUCUCCUCAGUUAAAUAUAGAAUAUUGCCUAUCUAGAGCUGCAUGAAUUGGUGUUUGUAACCUGCGUGUGACUUGCUGGUGACUAUUACUUUAUGCAAAUUUAACACCAGUAAAUAUUACCCUGGGUUCUGCAGAAUAGAUGCCUAUUUUAGGAAACUUCUUAGUACAUUGUACCUGUUGCUUUUCUGCUAAACGUAUUUCUCUUCACUGUUUAUGGUCUAAAGGAAGCAAAGUCAUGUGAGCUGUGGGAUAAACACACAUUUAGGUCUCUGUGGCACAGUAGCAUGCUGUUGUCAUGUGAUAAUCUUCAGGCAAGAUAAAAUGUGCCCUUGGCUUUCAGAUGUCCCUAGCAAAGCUUUCUUAACACUUGAAGAAUUGCAAACUUUAUUUUUGGUUGUUGAAAGGUGCUUCAUUGUCUAAGUAAUUUGCAGAAGACUUAUCUAAAACACCAAUUCUGGUUUAAUUUCACUUUUUUUGAAGACCUUAGCUGCAUCUGCAGUGUAGUCUGGGCAUUAUGUUCAGAUUUCCAGACUUCUGAGUGCUUUAAUGUCCCCUGAUGAUUUUUUUUUUUUGGCAUCCACCUUAAGACUAUAUAUGUGUUUUUGUUGAAGCUGUAGACUCUGCAUUUUCUUUGACACACUUACAAGUUGCCCCCUUGGGUUUCCAGGGUAAAGAUUGCUGCUGUGUAAGAUAGCUGUGAUACCUUGUGUGGACUUGCUCUGGUUUUUGGGCUGGUUCUAGCACCUAUGAGAGGAGAAAGGUGACUGUCAUCUAAAUUAUGGCUUGGAGGGAUAAACUGAGUAUCUCUGAUUCUUAAGGCACAAUGCCCAAACCAUGCUUGUAGCCCAGAUUCAUAAUCCUACAGGAUUAAUUGGUUUAAAACACCUAUCUAGGUAGUAACUUUAUUUUCUUUCUCCACUUGCCCAGGUCUGCUUGGGGACCAGAGUUACUUUCCCUAUAGCACAGGCAAGUGACCAGAAACAUUUUAGGUUUCAUAUUGCACUUGGCUGAAAGGGAGGGGGGAGGGUGUGUUUACCUCCCCCAGUUGAAUUCACAGGAAGACAAGUAGGAGAUGGUGGGCAACAGGAGAGGGAAUGAAUUUUUAUUCCCUACCCUCCUGUUGCAUAUUAGGGUGUGAUACAGGAGCAGGUAGCUUUGUAACAUCACCUCCAUAAUUGGCUAAUCAAGUGCCUUGUUUUGUGAAGUUAACACAAAUGCUGUUCUCCUCUGAAGUAAGUACUAACUGCACUUAGAAGAGUAAUUAUCUUUAAAGUAGGUCCUUGAGAAGGAUAAAGAAGGAUCACACUGUCAGUGCUGCGAGUUAGUCUUAGAAAUUGUUGGCACGUGGCUUGUUACCCAACUUCUGGAUCAUCCAAGCUGGUCUCAUCCCUGGUGUGAUUUCAGUUGUUUACUAAGUGCUUGCCAUUUCAUGCUGGUGUUUUCUUUCCCUGAUAUUUUCUGCACGUUAAGUAUCCAGCAUGAAUAAAUUAGUGUUACUAAAGAUGAGGGCCCCUGUUUUCCACACAGACCAGGUACUAUAGAGGGUGGAAGUACGUGAUAGCUUGAAUUGAAUUGCAUGGCAAGGACAUAGCAGGGCUUUCAGAGCCCAGCCAUCAAAGAUUAUGUGCUGUAGGGGUAUUGAGAGAGGCCUGCCUAAUUUCACCCAGCAUCAGGAUUUAUUAGUAUUUAGUCUUGUCUUCAGCUGAAUCAUAUCUGCACUAAAAUACAAUCUUUUGUGAUUACCCAUUUAGUUUCUGCUCAUGUUUCAGCUGCAUUGCUCUUCAAAUUGUUGAUAUUUGGCAUGCUGGGGGUGUGCUGUUGCAAGGUGCAUGCAUGCUGUUUAGAAAAAGAGAAUUAAGCUAGCUAAGAAACUGAUAAAAUAAUUCUUUGAUGGCUGUUGAAUCCUGAACAUCCCUACUACAACAGUAUUGAUAUGCUGUGAGCACCAGCUAUUUGCCUCUUGAAUGGCUGGGUAGGUCUGUUCUGCACGUGUUCUACACCCUGAUGUGUUCCCAAAGUGCUCCUGGGCAGUAAGUCUGGCAAACCUAUUGCAGUGGCACAGGGGCUGUGACUGCUGAGAGGAACCUGGGACACGCAGGUUUUUUCACUCUUUUUUUUCACCUUUCUGUGCUCUUGCAGCCUCCUGCACUGUAACCCUGCCUCAUGCUUCGAAAUGUUUGGUUUGUGUCCAUGCAGGCAGGUCUGGCCGUGGGUGUUUCUCUAAUACCUUUCGUGUGCACAGCACUCCCUUCCAUAUGUCUUGUAAAAAACAGAGCUGGAAUCCUUUGGCAAGGUGUUUGUUUAACACCAUGUGCCUAAACAGAAAUUUCACUGGCACUGUUUGCUGCCUUUAUAUAAAAUUCUACCUUACUGCUCAUAAAAUUGUGAUUUGAUGAAUAAGUUUAUUCAGUUUCUCACAUUCUAUUACCAUCCAGAGGACAGUUACAAUACACUGGAGUAUGAGCAUGCACUAACAAUAGCUGCCAACUGAAUGUUACUCACUUGCAGAACAGUGUGGUCCUAAUGUAGGCAUUAUAGAAAUUUAGUUCAUUACUUCCUAGCAUACAGAAGCCCCUAGCUGAGGGAUCUUUACUCAUGCUUAUACCCUUCCAUGGAAGUUUUUCUGCCACUCUUCAAAGCUGCAGUCUUGAUUAUUCCAUCAAUUUCAUGAACGGUUUUCUCAACUCCUUAUGAGACCCAUUUUAUUGUGGCUGUAAAAUGUAUGUUGAGUUAGUCUGCAGCUUGGCUUGGUCAUUUUUUGCAUGCUCAAAUAAAUAAUUAUUUACAGCAUCCUUUAGGGAUUUUUGCAGCUAAGUCAGUUUCUUAUCUGUAUCAAAUCCUUCAAAGGCUAUGUCUGUGAGGUCAGUGCAAAAAUAGGUCCUGGUUGAAGGUAACUGUGUUUGCAUUUAUCAGCAAUCAGAUUUUAAAAACAAGUUAGUUGGUUGGCCUUUGAGAAUGAGAGUGGUUUUGCCUUUAGGAAAUUGUUUUAGUAGUCUGUGCCAACUCUGUACCUCCCUAGGCUUGCUCAUACUAGUGCUCUCUGGCAAAGCAAUUUAAGAAAUGUCUUGGGCAGGAUUUUCAUAAAUCUAUUCAGCCCAAUCAGAAGCUUCGUUUAAUAGAGCAAUGUAUAAAUAGUGCAGAGAGUCAAGUGACCAUCAGCUGGUCUGAAUGGGUUUGACCACUACAGUCACAGGGUCUGAGGUAUGCAGGAGCUGGGAUCACUGAAAACAUGCUUUGCUGCAGAGAUAUCCUGGCUCUGGCAUAAUUAUGUAACUGCAGAGGAAUUCAUGUGUGUGAGAAUGAGUUUUAAUUGGACACCUGUAUUUAAUGUUUCACCUUCUGUGUCAUUACUGUGGGCUCUUAAGAAAGAAAAGUUAAUGCCUUGAUUAACUUUCCCAUUUUGUUAAGUGGUGUGUAGUGCAGUGCAGAGCUGAACUCCAAGAUUGUGAAUUUCCUUUAUAAACUCUGUGCCUACUCGGGUGAAACAAUGCACUGAUCUGUUUUACUGAAUUCAGAACUUAAGACAGAAUGGCUCUUUGCCUAAGUUCAUAUUAGGUAAUUAGAAGUUCUUGGCAUGCUUGGUAAAUGCUGAAAUUCCAUUGUGUUGUGCAUUAGGCAUGGGGAAAUAUUUCUUCAACUGCAGUGCCAGUGCACUAAAUUAUGUGUUUUGGCUGUCCUUGGUGAUGGCUUUAUUAAAUCUCAGCAAAACUGUCAUCUCUGGACUUGCAGGGAUGCUGGCUUGCUUUUGUUUGGGAAGUUACUGAAGCUGGCAUCCAGGUAAUGAUUUUUUUAAAAACUGUUUUUAUUAAAAGUAUCCAGCUUCCCCACUAGUAAAUAUCACGGUAUGGCUUCUAAAAAAAAACAGUAAAAUGGCAUCUAUUUCUUUGUGAUCAGUUCACUUGACACCAGUGGCUGUACUGCCUAGGACAAAAACAUUUUACCAGAUUCAGUAGCUUCAUGGGAAGAGCUAUUGUCCAAACACAAGUAAUUGGUAUUUCCCUUCUUCCUUUCCCCACCCACCAAAAUAUUUGUACUGAAUAUCUUUCCCCUGCUUCGUUACAGAUUUUAAUGCUUGUCAGUACCGUCCCUAUGCUUAGAAUGUGUGACUCUCACAGCAGAGCUGUUUGAUGAGAACCUACCUGAUUGUUCCCUUUCCUAUCAAUUCCACAUCUAGACCUUUGAUUUUCAAAGUUAAAUGUUUAAUCCAAACCAGAAAAACAAUGGUGGCCUAUGCCUCUGUUGUGUUUCCAGCCCUGACUGAUGCACUUGAAGAUCAUUCAGUCAUAUUAAACAUACCUGGAUUCAGCAAGUAAAGGUGUGGGUCUGUUAGGAGGUGAUUCACACGUUUUCUGAUCACCUGCCUUUGUAUUUCAUGCACAACACACAUCCAGUUGUUUUUUUCUAAUUUUAGCAUGAUAUGGUGAUGGGUUCAGUUGCAUCUUGCUUUUUUUGGCAGUAAACCUUUAUAUUAAAACAGUUCACCAGUGUCAAAGCUUUGCCUGUUGGAUUUAGAUGAUAACAGAUGGUGGGCUUUUUUCAGUAACUUGGUAUUUUUUGCUUUCAUGAAGCAGUGAGACUUCUGUCUGCACAAAUACCAAACCCAGGCACUGCUCAGGAUUAUGGUACAGCUUGAGGCUUCAGGUUGCAUAUGUGCAAAGAGCUCCUGCAUCUCUGAAGUGUUCACAAACCUCCUCCCUUUCCCUUCCUGCAGGAGCUCUGAAUUUGAAGUGGCCCAACCUUUUGUCAUCUGAGGGACUUUUUCCUGCUGGCCUGCUUAGGGCUGGGAUAAAGUUGAGUGCAAUGCACACCCUUAGAAGUCAUGGGGUCCUUACAAAACUACUCAACAGCUGCCCCUCAGCAUCACCUGCCCUAAACCAGAGGGUGAUAUCUGGGUUCACUGCUGUGCUCAUCCCCUCACCUUACUUCUCCUCUUACAGGUGCUCUGGCUAAAACUCACAAAUGACAGAAUAGUUGAUAAUGUAACAAAUAAAGUUUUUUUCAUUAAAAUAAAAUAUUCUAAUUUAAAAAUAACACUUGUACCACCAAAAGUCUCAUAAAGCUGCUGUCUGAGCCUCUUGGCCUCUCCUUGAAGACACAGUGACUGUGCUGUCUCUGGCUUGUUCCAGCAACUGCUUGACUGAGGAUGGAAGGGGAGAUACUUCCUCUGAGUGGCCCCAAGCCCAAAGUGCCUGUGGUGGAAAAGCUGUCUCCUUGUUUCGGGAGGGAUGAUCCUUUGCCUCCUGAAUACUGACAGGCCCUGGCUGAGGGGGAGGCUGGGGGUGUUGUGCUCUGAGGUUGGAAAUGGCUUUAGCUCUAAGCUGCAGCAUAGUGGCAAUACUGCAGUGGGCUAUGGUGGCUUGUCUUGAGGAGGAUUGAAGGCUGGGAUUAUUGCCUGCAGAAGGAGGGAGAAGUGGACAGGUUGCAGUGAAUGAGUUGUGCAAAUCUCUGCUCCAGCAGAGAAGUGUCCAAUUCCCAACUUCAGUGCUGCUGCUCUCGUGCCUCUGGUACCUGUUCCUGGGAAACCUCCCUGUUCUGCAAGCUCCAGAGGCUAAAUAUGGCUAAAUAAUGUUUGUUCAUCAUUAAUAAAUGCUAUCUGUGAAACCAUGUUGUGGGAAAAAAGUUCAGCAGUGCCUACAUAGUUAUAUUAAAAUGGGGGCAUAGUGACUACCACUCUUCCAGAAGUAUCUGACAGCAAGGUGUUCUCUUACUUACUUUGCAAUUGACCAGUCUUGAAUCACUGCUGAUAUUGCUGUAAUCAAGUCAAACAUUAGUGAUAAUGUAUUUUUAAUAAUUUUUGAGCACUUUUUAAAUUCUUAGUAAGACUGACUGACUUUAAACAGUUUUGCUUCUGUGUUUAAAAAAGGGGAAAAAAAACCCACUUGGCAGGCUGAUGGCUAUUAAAAUACUCUGUAAUUGAAGUUGAAAGUUGUUGUGGUGUGUUUUUGCCUUAAAUUGAUGUUUGUUCAAUAUUCAUUCAUUUCCUUCCUAAUCUCCUCCCCUCCCCAGUUGCCAAUCUUUCCAAGCUCUUCCCUAACCUCCUCCCCUCCAAGUUAUCAAUCCUUGCUUUCCCUAGAACAUUCCCUGUCACUCCUUCUACUCCCCUCCCAUUCUUCCAGAGUGUUCCCUGUCCAUUUAGUUACUCUACACCCCAUUUGUUACUUUGUGUUAUUCUACUCCCCUAUUUCCCCUGAUAGAUUUGAUAUGUUAGUCCCACCUUAGACCCCUCCCCAGUUAUUGAUUGUUGUUCCUACACCCCUCCUCCUGAGUUUCUGUAUGAAACCUUCUGUUUGCUCUCCCAAGCUGGUCUUGGGCUCCAUUUUCUCCACCUAAUAAACCCCCUCUGGAGCACCCAAAGCUCCAUGUCGCCUCCAUCUGUCCCCACACCGAUCCAUGGGGUACCUGGGGUUGCAGAGCUCGCAGGGGGACGGCCGCUCCUCUCUUCCCUCUCUUCCAUCGCCGCCCAGUGCACAACCGCUUGGAGCAUCGUGAGAUGCAAUACAAAGUCCUCAGAGUUCCCAGAUAAAUGUUUUAUUUAAACAAAUACUUGAAAUAUUUAAUGAACAGUUGUAAUUUGAUGGGCAUUUUUUGUUUGUUUUUUACCAAAAAUGACAUUUCUUGCAAUGAAAAUCUUAACACAUGCAAGAGUUCAAGGAGUUACCUGGAAUACAUUUCAGCCACCAAUGAAAGACCAAGCUGGGCAUGAAUCCACUGGGGUUUUUCUCAGAUGUGCUGCACUCUGCUGGGGCAGCUCCUGAGCUGGCAGAGAGGAGCCGGGAUUUCUUCAUUUAACAACAGAGACAGAAGAAUUUCCAACCACCAUGAAUGGGAGAUGUUUAUGCAAAGGCUUGAUGUGCUGGACUGAUUUCUAAUAGAAAUUGACUCCAAGUCUUUCCUUGUCUCUGCUAAAUUACACAGGAGCUGUAGUUGUUUCCCCACUGCAAUGAGGGAUAUGUUUUACUGUUCUGGGAUUGCCUCUAUGCCUGUAAAUUUACUUUUAUUUACUGGAUGCUCUUUCUGACAGACCAACAACAGCGUGGUUUUUCAUAAUUCAUGGGUUUUUUCAUGUCAUUUUGUACAAUAUUGUUGGAGGAUUAAGAAGAAACUUAACGUGACUUUGGUUCUGCUAUUAUUCUACUUCAUGUUUGUGAGCAUUUCUUAUUAUUGGCUUUUUGGGGGCAGGUCUUUACUAGUACCUGGAAAUGAAACAGUUUAUUUCAGAAUAAAGAUGCAGGAACACUGUGAGUACUGUUUAACUCUAAAAGCCAAUGACUGCAUACUUGAGGUGACUGUUCUGGCAACACACUUUUCUGUUUGCUGUCCACAUGAAAUCUGUGUGAUACCAAUGGUGGAAAAUUCUUUAUUUACAAAGGCUAAUCUACAGAACUCUUUCACAUACUGAUUUUAAUUUUUUUUUCCUGAUUGUUUCUGCAGGUCGUUUUGGAUUAAUGCUGUGGAUCAAUCAACCCAGAACUUGUAGCUGCCCAUCAGUCGCUCAGUAGUCAGUGUAGAUUCUGUCUUUACAAUCAGCAGCUACAUCUGGCUACUGGGUCUCUGAUGACAUCUCCUACCUCUGUCUAGACUUUUUGUUGGAUUUGUGUCUUCUCUCCUGGGUGCAGAACAAGUUCACAGUGCAAACAAGUUAACUCCUGAGGUGUGGCCCCAAAUAAAGGAUUGGAUAUCUGUUGGAUCUGCUUCAUAGUGGGAAUCAGAUAAAAUACCUGGAUGUUGUGGCUUGGAAAGCAACAGCCUUUUCUGUAGCCUAGUUCUGGGGUUUACAGUAGUCAAAACCCAUGAGAAUAUUUGCAGAUUUGAGCUGAGAAGAUCGGUGGACUUCACUUUUUUCAGUAAAGGAUCUUUAGCCUCUCCUGCGAAGGGAAAGUAUUGAAGCACCUUUGCUGAUUGCAUACCUCCAGCGUGUUAGGGGAGGAAACCGUACUGUGAACUGGGUGUGCACAGCUGGUUUUUAUCAGUUCUGUGUGAAGACUGUCCAGGUUUGGGGCAUGAACCUGGCAUACAAUGUAGAUUUCUGUGUUUGUUAAGCAACAGCUACAUUGUCUGCUGGGUUUCCAGCUGCCUGGAAAUACAAAGUGGAGGGUUAUCUACAAUUUUUUUUUUUUUGUCAAGUUACCUCCCUUGUGUCUCUGAGGAAGACAGUGCAAUUCAUGUCCAGUUGCUGCCUCCCCCUCUCUUCUCACACUAGGGAUCCAGCUGGUGUCAACUAGAGUUUGGAGACAGGGUAGAUCUGACAUUAGUUAAGAAGAUAAAACUUCAAGGAAUUGAAGUGUGGAGACACCUGCCCGUGAGUAGAUGUCAGGCGGAAACUAAUGCCUGCUUUCUGAGUAUCCAUUAGUUUCCCUUGGUAAUGGUGUUUCACUUUUUUUUCCUUUCAAAAAUCUUCAGAUGGAAAGCUAUAUAUGUGUGUGCUGUGCAGUUAUGGAAUUCUUUUUGGAGAAGGGAGUAGUGGGGAGCUAUUUAUAGGCCUGACUUUUGAAAGUAUGCUGUGUAUAGUGUGACUUAUAUACAGAAAGUGCCUAGGAAUAAUUGGGGAGGAAUAAGAUAAUGUCUUGAGUGCUGAUUCCAGCUGGAUCUCUUGUCAUUUAGUGGUACCAAACCUAAUAUGCUUUACUUGUGCAUCAUACCCACCACACAGUGAAAAAAGGGCAGUUUCAGUUUGAGAACAUCAGGCCUGGAAUAGCAGGGGACUGUUGUCCUUCCAGACCUGGUCUGCAGUCACAGCAGUAAAUGGGGAAGCUUGUAAAUCACAUGUCUGUGCUGUUAACCCUGCACUGCUGAGCUCUGGGCCAUUUCCCCAUGGAAAUCAGGAGGGUUGUGAUUGCUGCUCAGUGUGAAGGAAUGGAUGGUUUGUCUGGACUUUACAAAAUGUGAUUUUAGAUCAGCAGACAUCCAGAAUCCUUCCUCUGGAAGGGCAAUACUCAGGGGCCAAAGGGCUCCUGAGGGAGUGUUCCUGUUAAAAACUGUGUAUUUUGUUAAGAUGAAUAAAACUUCUCAUGCAAAGAACUGUGUCUUUUCUUGUUUUUUAUAACCACCUUAGGUUUUCACCAGGUUGUUUGGACCUAUAAAGGGACAAUGUCUUACGCAAACAGCCCCUCAAUACUUGUCAGCCUGACUGCUCUCAUAAAUCCACAUUCACGGAUGCAUUUGUACUAUAAGUAAAAAUGUACAAUUACCAACAGCCAGUAGUUGGCACAGCUAAUCACUCCCUAUUGAAAUAACUGUGGAUUGUCUAGAUAGCUUUGAAAACUGCUUGUGAAGGCUGAACAACUAUUUAUCCUUUGCUUUAUGUUUUCCUCAGUGCCAGCCUGUUAGCAUCUGCAUCUCUGAUAUUGCAGAAUUGGUAGGGACUUUGAUAUAUUUUAGUCUUUUUCUCAAAUUAAUUGGCACAUUCUCAGAGGUGUGAGUGAUGUUUCAUUCCAUAGAACCUCCCAGGUCCUGACCAGCAUAUGCACAAUGUUCCUAAAAGUGGUAAUAAGUUACUCUCUGCAGUGUUUUUGUGGCUCAUUCAGCUUCAGCAGCAUUAAGGUAUCAACAGCUUUUAUUGCAUAGCUCUUUUCCUCUGUUUAUGGUUGUUCACCUUGACCAUAAGGACUCAGAAUAAGGUACAUCUGCCCCAACUGUAUAUAUGAUAAACACCAUAAAUAAUUGAAGAGCAGAUCAACCUAAUAUUUAGCAUCAAACCCCUCUCCUAUUCAGUUUCACUUCCCCACUGUGUUUCAGUUAAACUUUACCAUGUUGAAAUCCCCUUUGUGGGCAGGUACUUCUGGUUCCUCUUAUUUUUCUGUCAUGCUACUUGGUUUUGUAUAUGGACACCUUUAAAAUAAAAAAAAAAAAAUUUGAAAAAGGAAAAAACCCAUGCACUUUGCUCUGUUACCUUACUCUGAAGUUCUUAUUUUGUUUUCAGUGUCUAGCAUAGCUAAUGGAAGCAUGUAAAAGUGGUUACUCUUCCUACUGUGUUAUUUUUUUUUCUUUUUUUUAGUUCUUUGUUCCUUCUGUAUGGAUUUCAGUGAAACUGGCAUAAGUGCAUGACUCUUCCUUCCUCUCCCCUGCUGAGGGUGCCUUUACUCCUGGUUAAACUGCUGCUAACUGCAGCCACAAGUCCUUCUUCAGCUUCAGUGAAAGAAACUGGAUCUGUGACAUAACGUUUUCCACCUGUUCAACCUUAGAGAGGUUCUCAGGGUUUGCACUGCCUUUGUGCUUGUGCUCCCAACAAUACCCAUGGCUAUAUUUUCAUGAUGUUUCUCUGCUGUGAUGCUCAUGAAUGUGAGACCUGGCUAAGGUGUGAAGGUUGUUCCUCAGACAGGAAAGUGAAACCAAGGCUCUUGCCUGGUCAGAGCUGUCCCUCUCUUCACAGCCCCUUCUGUUUGCUGGGAGGGGAGUGAGGCCCUGGCACAGGUGGCUAAGAGAAGUUUUGGGUGCCCCAUCCCUGGAAGUGUUCAAAACCAGGUUGGAAAAAGCCCUGAGCAGCCUGGGAUAGUGGAAGGUGUCCCUGCCCAUGGCAGGGGGUGGAAUAGGAUGAUAUUUAAGGCAGUAAAUGGUGAGAAUACAGCUGCUAAAAAUCUUGGUUAUAUCCCUUCGAAAUGCAGAGCUUGGAGUUUGGCAUUCAGACUUGAUUUCCCCCUAAUGUUCCCUCUUUCCUGCCCAAGCAAAUAAUGGGAACUAAGAUAAUAGUGGCAGUUGGGUCUGUUUUGACCUGUAGAUUGAAGAGGAUCACAGUACUUUCCUAAUUUUCUAUUUUCAGUUGCAUCUCAGUUUAUGUAAUAUCUUCCCACACUGAUAUUUCUUCCCAUCCUCUGACUUGCUUUUACAAUUGACUUGAAUAUCUAUUUAAAUCUUAAUAGCAGGAAGAACAAUAUUUUUACUUUCUGGCUCCGGAUAACUGCUAGGAAAGCCUUGCUGCCUACUAUUUCUCUAUUCUGUGACAAAUACUUCUGUAGACUCUAAGCUUUGUUUUCUUGGCUAUGUUUAUUCUUUCUAUGCAAAUCAAGAUGGAGAGGGUACAUUUAUCCCAACCUUGCUGUAUUUGCAGCAUAUCCUUCCCUAUCAGUACAUGGUAGCAGAAAAUACAUUCUGUAAGUUUCUUAAAAAAGAAAAAAAUCCAAACAACCCUGCAGUCAUUAAGUUUCUGAAAUGGCAGUAACCAAUAUUAAAGCUGAGACGGGGACACUAAAACUCAGAACUAUGAUUUUUGUAGAACAGAAUAAUGACUGGGUUGCUUUAAUUGACCAAAAGUGUGAACAGCCAUUCCUAAUGGGAGAGCUCCAUCCGUUGGAUAGGUGGCUUGUAAUUAAACUAUGGAAACCUGUAAUUUGGACUUCUGUUGCUGUCCUGGGUAAUUGAGCAGAUUUUGAUUCCUGUGCACAGCUGCUUUUGGGGACUGUGUGGUUGUGGCUGUUUCCCCAGCUCCACUCAGCACGAAGGAAUUCCCUGAGGAGUUACCUGUGGAAGGGCAGGGCAGAAGGAAGGUGUUGAGGGUUUAGAGCAGUCUUUUGGAGACCUUCCAGCGGGUGCAUUUCCUUUCCCUUGCCAUGAGCCAGCAUUUUCCAAAAGCAUAAACACACCUGGGACUCCUCACCAGAAGUGCCCUCUUCACAAUGUGCUUUGGUGUCUGAGUUGAAUGAUGUUGGUGUGCUCGUGCAUUUUUACUCUGUAAAUCUCCCUCUGCUCUCCUGUUCAAGCAAGCUGAACAACCCUGUCUCCUUUGUCAGAUGUCUUCUGGGCUUCUCACAGAGGGUUGUAGCACAAAUCCUGUGGCACAGCGCUGCUUGUGUGCAGUGCUACAGGGCCUGUCUGCCUGUGGGGUUGUUUGUACUGUGAUGUAUUGCUUUGUACAAUAAACUGAAAAAUGGGACCUUGCUUGUGGGUGUUGGCAAAACAAGCCUCUGCUGAAGAGGUGUUCAGCUCAAGUGGUCCUUGGCGUUGGAGAGCCCUAUGAUUUCUCAACCUGUCCUGUCCCUGGCUAGCCAGCUACUCGUAAAAGCAGUUAACCAAAACUGUGGAAGGCCUUGAGAAUCCAGUUGAAUGCUGGCAUUUUUCUCCUAAUGUUUGGCUUUACAGUUCCUAGUUGUAGCCCACAGAAAAUGCUGAAUAGUUUUAGGAGACUGCUCUAAGGCAGUUGUGUGGCUCUGGUUGUACAGCGGUGAGUUUUAGUUUGAAGCUUUGAAGAGCAGUUGCUGCUGCUACACAUUAGCAAACUUUAUCCUUUCAAGUUGGUAAUUUUUCUAUCUGCUCUGAAAGUCUUGUUCUGUAGGUUGCUAAGUAACACCCGCACGUAUUUAAUUUUCCAUGUGCUCUGAAUGCCAGUCUUCCAUGCAAAACACCUUUCCAAAAUUAGUGUCUGUCAAGCUCCUGAAAGGUAGUGGUGAUGUGAUGCAAGUCAAUCAUGUUGCCUGCUGUAGGUGUUAAUUCUCCCAUCUAAAGGCACUUGCAGAAUCACUAAUAUGGUGAAUCUCCAGUUCCUUUUAGCUGCAAGAAAGCAGUAUCUUCUGAAAUACUUGCACACUAAUUCCAGAAAGAGAAGUGAAUUGCAGGGGGCCCACUUAUAAUAUCAAUUUGUUCAUUAUCAUUUACAGCUUAGUUUUCUUCAGAGUGCUGAGUUCUGAAGGGACCUACCUACCUACCAUUAGGAAGGAAAAUUACCUUUCAUUAGGUAGAUAAUUUUCCUGUGCUCCAAGGCUGGCUGACUAGCUGAGGAUUUUAGAGGGGCCAGGCAUCAUGAAGAUGUGAGGGAAGGGUUGAUAAAAAGUGUAGAAAACUUUCCCUUUCUUUUAACCUGUUUUAUCUUGUAGAAGGAAGGAUUGGAUCUGCAUUUUCUCUUUCACCACCUCUAGAAAUUCAGAAUACUGUUCCACUGGACAUGUGUGCUAUACCAGACACUUCAAGCAUUUUUCUUCCUGUUUGCCUGUGAGUGUUCCCUGGUUGCUUGUAUAGUCUAGGCAAGUGGGCUGAGCCUGUUUUGAGAAGAAUAUCAACACCUGAACACUCUGUAUGCUGAGACCAGGAGCUGCUAUUCUUUCCUCGAGCACACCUUCUCUGUUUCAUGGACUUAGUGCCUUGUACCCAUCUGUGGAGAACUCUAGAUAACUGUAAUUACAUGCAAAACAUCCACAUGAAAGACUUUAUAAUUACGGCAGCACAGCCAAAACUACCAGAACUUUGUAACUGCAGCAACAAGCCAAAAAUGAAUGAAUUUGAAAAUAAACAAACCUGCCACUGUGUUUUGUAACCUCUGUGAGCCCAGGCAACUGCUGCAAAGCACCGUGGCAGCAUUUGUCAUGGUUACUACAGAACCGACUCAGGGGGUGUAGGAUUAGGAAUUACAAAAACCCUUCCUAAUGUCUCCCUCUGUUUACUUACAGACAGAUGUGAGUGUGAGCCCUACCUGUUGUUGAAUGGCCAAUCUGUAGAAGGUUCUUGAUCCUUUCAGCCACCCAGUUCCUCCUGGCUGUGACAGCCACCCUGGGUGUGACUUGGCUGGUGAUAGAUGUUUUAACUGCUCUCAGUUAUUGCUACAUUGGUCUCAUUAUCAGUUCCCUGAAAUUUUUAUGUCCUUCUCAAAGGCCAUCCCCAUUUUAUCUUCACCUGGGGUGAAUAAUGCUAAAAGAAGGAUUUGAGGUACUGGUUAAGAGGUAUUUCAGAAGCCAAAUUUUUAUGGAGGAUUUUGACCUCAAGUGAACUUUCUGGUAAUUUAGAAAGACAUGGAUUUACAUGGUGGAACGGGCUGCCAAGAUCCUGGGUUUCUUUGUGUUUAGCAGUGUUACGAAAAACAAAACCAUUCCAGUGGCCAAACUCCCUUCAGUUCUCCCCUAACAACAAGGGCAGUGUGAUUUAAUGUGUUCUCUUGGAUUGAAACUUUUGCUGUGUUGUGGGACCACAAAAGAAAGUUGCUGUCCAGAAUGCAUGUUUUAAGUGUGUCAGAUCUUCAUCUGCCCUGUAACAUCCCUGUUUCUCAGAUGCAGAGUUUGGGCAUAGUGAAAUUAAAAGCCAGUCUUUCUCCCCCCUUCUCCAUGUGAAAAUCAGAUUUGAAUGGAAGUCUAAAAUGCUGCCUCUCCUGACUAGCUUCUCAGCCCUGAGGGAAAAACCUGCAGAGAACUGAAAGUCAUUGCUGCCUUUAUUUAAGAGAAGUUGGAAGGCAGAGGAGAGGAUCUGAGUUUUGGAAGGCUUUGAAUGCUGAUCAGAAGAGAGAGUUCUUGUCUUUACUGACACAGCCUAUAUAAAUAUGAAUAUAACCCAGGGAAGUGGGAGACCAAAAUUUAUCACUUGUGGACUGUCCUGACCCCUGAGUUUUAGACUGAUGGGCAGCAGGGGGAUGCAUUCCCCUAAUAAAGUAAAUUGCUGUGCUUCAAAGAAGUAGAAGUUCAUACACCCGAAGAGUAGAAACACAGCUGUGAUUUAGUGGUCAAAGCAGACAGGACUGAAAUAAAGGGUGGCUUGAGGUAGGAAGCCUGCUCCUUAAAUGUUGAUUAAAGAGCUCCUGGCUGCAGCAGCCACAGGAGCAGGACUAUUACAGUGGUGUUUUGCUUCUCAAGGACCUCCUCCUAACAGUGCAUUUUGUUUUCACCUCUGUUAAAGGACGAGAUGGACUUGGUCCCAGUGUUUGUGAUGGGAGAGGGCACAGGACUGGAAUCUUUCCUUCUGCUUUCUCGUGGUUCUAUGAACUUUGCUACUUGCUCCCUGCCCCAGAACAGCCAAAGUGGGAGUAGGACUGUUCCCCCACUCCAAACGUGGGAGGGUCAAGAGACUAUACCUGAAAAUUCAUCAGAUUUUUAGUCAGUUAAAAACCUAAGUGAACAACAGUAUUAAUUUUGUCUGACUCUUACACACCACACAGUCGUAAGAAAAUGGAAUAUAAAGUUCAGACCUCAGCAGAUAAUGCUGCAGGGUGCUCUCAGACACAGCUGGUGCUUUGGCUGUCCAUAACUGGGACUCCAGGAACACUAAUUGGAGUUUAUUAAGGUCUGGUGUACAAAGACAAGCACCUCUAUGGGUGUUCAUUAUGUGUAACACUCUCAGAACAGGAAUAUAAACUCAGAAGGGGAUUUAACUACAGUUAGAUACUUCCUUGAGUGCUGUGUUGACAUUCAUUGUUUAUCUGUUCAGACUAGUCAUAUUUGGAAACACUGUUCUAUUCUGACAUAUGACUUUUCCCAGGAGCAGCAAGACUCACAACGAAGAUUUCACAAUAAAGAAAAUUCUGUUCCUCUUUGUGGGAAUGUUAUAGUAAAGCCAUGACAACUCAUUUGGCACAAGAUUGUUUUGUGUUCAGCAAGGAUUCCCCCUCCCCCCUAUCCCUACACAUUUUUGAUGUGUUUCCAUGUGUUGAGGUUUUGUUUUGGUUUUUUAAAUAUUUUUGUGGUUUGUUUUUUUUUUUCAGGAGGGUGGGGGUGGAUCAUUUUACAUUUAGCCUUCCAGCCAUCAACUGAGAAACCAAACCCUGCAAUAGGUAUGAAGAUCCCGAGUCCAGGCUUGUGUGUAUCAGUGUCACCACCAGCAGUGGAGUUGCUCCUAAUUUAUCACCACGUGAACAAGUUCAGCAUCAGUCCCCUGGGAUCUGCUCAGCUGGUGCAGCACUGGAAUUACACAUCUUGCUCCAGGCAAAGGGGAAUCAUGGUGUGCAAUACUGAGAGGUGGCACAAAUCCACAGGCAACAGCUUAAAUACCAGGUAGCAAUUCCAAACCUGCAUGACUGGAAAGCUGAGGUAUCUGCAGUAACCUGUGAGGCCAGUAAAGAUCCGACACCAGUAUUGUUCCCUGGCUCAGUGUUAAUGCCAUAUAAGCCCAGGGUAUAUUUGGAAGUCACUGGUACUUCUGGAGGUUGUACUUCUGAUGUCUGAUCUUCUUGGACUUUUUUUUAACUGCAGUGCUCAGCGUUGAAGUGGGAAAUUAUUUUUAUGAUGUUGCACCAGAUCUUCUUCCAAAGUACAAGGCUAAUUAACCGGGUUUCAGUGAAUUACACUGGGGAUGACAGUCUAGCAGCUGAAAAGUCAUUAGGCUUUUUUGCAACCUUCCCUGGAGAUAAAGUGGUUAUUUUGGGAAGAAUACACAUAUGGUGAAAUCUGGUCCUCAGUGUAGUUCUUGGAAAUCUUCCUCAUGAUCACAGUUUGCACCCACCUAAAAUUCCUGAGUUAUAAAGGGGGCAGAAUUUUCCUGCCUCAGUGUUUACUGCCCCAUCCAAAAACUCUCACUAUAUAUUUAGGGGCUGGAAGAACCACAAGGUUACACUUUCAAAGAAGAAAGGAGAACGAUAGGAGGUUUUCAAAGAUGAGGAUUUGUGAGCAUGGCAAAUAAAAACUCAGUGGCAUUGCCAAGACUUCUGAAGCUUUCCUGAAAAAGCUGCUAGGCCAGCCUUAGCCUGAAUGUGUUUGCUGCAUGCUGCUGAAACUAUAGUUCAGGUUAUGUUGCUGUUGCUAUUCUAAACCCUAGGAAGUGGGUGUUUAUAAGUGCAGUCAACAUUCCCUCUGAGCAAAAAGCUGGCCUUAAAAGGGAGUUGUCCCAACAGCAAGAAGGAUUAUUUAAAGAAAAUAAAAUGCUAAAUUUUUGCUGUUCAGAGGGAAAAAAAAAAAAAAAAAAAAAGAAGAGGAAGCAAACCCAGGGAUGGAAUAUUACAGCAUUGCCCACACACAGUUUUUUUCCUUUUCUUAAGUGGCUUUUAUCCAAGACCAUUAAGUACAAGCAAUGAUCAUUUGUGAUGGAAAAUUAGUAAAAUGCUUUUUUUUUUUUUGCACAUUUAAUUAACUUGUUUUGUUUAAUUAGGAAAAAUUACAGUAGCAAAUGCACAGAAAUGCAUUAUUACUAAUACCAUUAUCAUAUUUUACUGCUCACAGUCACUAAAGUCAAGAACAGGCUCCUGGUGUUUCACUUGCACUUCUGUUUUGUUCAGUAGCUCCCAAAACGUUUUGCUGGAGCACUGGAGAGACAUGGCAGUGAGUCAGCCCUGGGGAUACCCGCCCAACCUGCCAGUGGGAGUGAGGGAUGCUGGCUUGAGAACUGCAGGAGCCUGCUGAGACAGCUGCCUCCAAGCAAGGUGUCCUAAGUCACACUUUAACAAAGACAAGGACUAUGACACAGUCCAUAACAGGGACUCAUAGUCUGCUCAACCCUGAUCUAGACCUGGCUUUAACAUUAAUAAAUCAUAUGAUUUCCAGACAUCUCCCGUUUCUGUGACAUCUGCUUUCCUUCUUUCAGCUCUGAUGCCUUCUGCCCCUUUUAAGCUCUCUCCUGUGCCUCCCCUGCACAGGGAUAUUCUUAAGGCACCAACUCAUUGUCGACAGAAAGUGAAGCUGCUGCUGGGAUUUCUCAUUCCCAACCAUAGUUUCUCUUUCCCUCCUCAGCUGCUGUUUAUGGCAAGAUGCUGGCACUUUCUGUCAGCUUCUUCUGGGUUUCUUGACAAAUUGGGUGCCUUCAGAAAAAUCAAGUGCAGUGCUCCAGUGGUGUGAGUGUGCACAUAUUUAUCUAUCCAGGUAUUACUAAUGCACGUGUGCUGUGUGACAGGGGAAGCUGAGGAGCAUCUGCACAGGAUGACCAGCGCUUAAUUCCUGUACAGUACAUGCAUUAAAAUCCUGGCACCUGUAGUCUUCUUAACACAAAAUCUCUCAAGUGAAACUUUUGAAGAAAAUUAUGCUUUGAGCCCUUGGGAUUGUAAAACAGGAGGAAGCCUUUUUAUUUGGCCUUCUGAGACAUGAAACAGAAAAAAUCUGCCUAUCACAGUACAUCAUCAUUUUUAUUAUUCCCCCAAAACUGUAAGGAUAAGGACUGGGAAGCCAAAGAAUACCACUGAACAGAGAAAAUGUCACAGGCAAGAAAUGCCUAGAAAUUAAGAGCUCUCAAAAUAUUUUCUCCUUGAAUAUUCAAAGUGAGGACAUUAAGGUGGAGAAUUUGGGGGAGGACUGCAAAUUUCCUGUAGUAACUCACAAGGGGCAAAGUUGGAACUGCUACUUCGCUUCUACUCUUUUAUAAUCAAUUGUGAUGUAAAUGCUGAUGGCUGCCUAACAGGCAAAACAAAGUAGGGAAAUGAUGAGUCAUUUGUACUUGUAGUUUGUCUGAACAAGUAAUGUGCAAGUCAAGUUUCAUUUAAGUGCAGCAGAACUUUCCCCCGAGGAUUAUCCUUGCAAGGCAGAGCAGUGGAAGAUCAAGGAGGGCUUUGGAUCUGCAGCCAUGGACAGACAGCCUCUCAAACAGACAAUUUCCAUCAUGCCAAGGCUGCCCAGCUUCAGUUCUAGAGACAGCCCACUGUUCUAGAGACACUGAAGUACACGUAGCAAUGGCCUUCACUGGAGUAUGUUGUGUUAUGUGAGUGAAUUUUUUUCUGUUGCUGUCCAAGGACAUGACCAUAUUUCUCCUGAUGUGGGGGAAUACAUCCUCCCUAUGGAGAGGAAGCACCUAUACCUCUCCAGCAGCUGGGAAGAACUGGCUGGCUGCCCUUGCCAUCCAAGAGGUUCAAAGAAGACUCUGUCUCACUACCUCAUCCUGCUCCAAACUACAGCUCAGUGUCAAAAGCACCUUUUAAUAUUUGCCUUGUAAACAGCAUCUAAAUUACAUCUCUAUUGAUUAUCUUAUGCCCUAUUGCAAUUUUUUUAUUAUUAAUAAACAAAAAUCCUUUAGUAUAAGGAUGUUCUUCAGCAGCAAAAUUCUUUCAUUCUCCACAAAAGGAGGAAUGUCUGUACUGGUAAUCCAAGAUACACCAAUCAUCAGGAAGUUGGUAGCACAACUUCCAGUGACUUCAGCAAACCCAAGAAGGAAACUCAAAGCUCAUGGAAAUCUCCAAAGGUAUCUGGUGCUGUAGCAUGAACCUAACUGUGACAUCCACAUUAAGUGUACCCAUCUGUAGCUCAGAAAUACUGUCCUUUUCCUGGCAGCUGUUCCGAAGGCUGAUCUGAAGCCUGGUCCAAGCUGCCUGCUGUCAUCUGCUGGGAUGUUAUUGAAAUAGAUGCAUGGGAAACAAGUCAUGGUUGUUCAAACCAACCAGAAAUUGAGGGAAACCAAUUUCAGAAGCCAAGGUGCUGUGUGUGUGUAUAUAUAGCAAAGGUACAGUCCUUUGAAACUGUGCAGUGAAUAGGAUACAGUUGGAAACGUGCUGCAAAGGGAACAAGAACACAGUCUUGCAGUUUUGAAAACUACUGUUUGAAUAAGUAAUCCAGUUCCCAAUUCAGACCUAAAAUAGCCUUCCUGUUAGUGCAGUGCUGCAGUCUGUCACAGUUGGCAGCGAGAGUUUUCUCUUUUGGUUGACUUUAGGUUUAAGUAAUAAUAAGAAUAUGCCCAAAGUGCAGUUUCUCUUCACAAAAGGCCUUUUUUUGCACAUUAUUUAUUACAGGGUGGCCCCACCAUUUCAAUGUACAGUUACAUGUUUUGGUAAAUUUCCACUUAUAAUAUGAGAUGCCAUUUGAAACACAAGUGUGUUUUCUUCCUAAUUUUUGGUAAAUGUAGGACAUCUGCUCUUAGUCCCAGAAGAUAAUUUUGUACUUAAUCACCUGACUAAUAAAGAUUAAAGGUCUGAUUCAGAUCUUUGUUAAAACUGGUGGCAUAAAUCAGUAGGAGCAUUACAGACUUCAGGCUUUUUAAAGUUCUGAUUAAAUUACUGAGGAAAAUUUUAAUCUUACUUAAUGAAAGCAGAUGCCAGGUGAAGCAGUGGGAAAUGUCCUAUUAUUCACUAAACAGGGCUUCAGUGAGUCCGUCAAAGGCUCCUGGAACAAUUUAGAUAAAGUUCGCAGAGGAACCCCAGGAGGUUUGGAUGGUGCCACUAUCGCUGAGCAAGCACCUACACUCAACCAGCAUCAGGCAGCAAAGCACCAGGGCACAUGAGUGGCAGAGAGCAGCUCUAAACCACAUCUGGGGAUUUCUCUGAACAGGCAUUUCAUGAGACAGAGCUGCAGUGUUGGCUGUAGGGCAAGAGAUGGGUUUUGGAAGCAGCAGGAAUAAUCAGAAGUGUAGCUGAUCUCAAGGUGAGCCAGGAGCAGUGCAGCAGGGAAUCUAAGCCAUCAGUGUUCAUAUGUCUGAAAUAGAAAAGUUCACUGGAGAAAUUGCAGGGAUCAAUGUCCAAGCAAUCCUGUGCAUGAUGUAUCAGUUACUUACAAAGGAAUCCACUUCUUUUGCUGAAUUCAGCCAGACAUGUGAAACAAUCCAGUCUAUUUCAAAUGAGCUGUUGGAUGGAUUAAACACAAAUGUAAUUAGCUUUUUCUCUUAUGCUUGAUGCUUGCCAUUUAAAACGAUGAGGAAGCAGGAGAGAGCUCUGCUAAAAGCCCACUGUGUUACACUUGUGAAAAAUGCCUGGCUGUUCUGUUUAUAGCCUGGUCCAGAGCUGUAAUCUUCAGCAGCCAAUAAGGAACUUCACCAUCAGCAAAGCUAAAGAACAAUCUAAUCAUUAUGUCUUAGCAUUUUGCUUAUUGCUGUAAAAACACAAAGUGCUCAUAUUUACUUGUGAAGGAUCUAGAGUGCACUAUGGGCUUCUGUGACUAAAGGAGCUGUCCUUCAGUGUAAUUUAAACUUCCUUGCUCAUUCAUAACCACAACCACAAGGUUAAACUGACCUUCUUUGUUCUUCUGAGUUUCAUCCCUGAAAAAUGCACUGAAUACCCACCCCUGCCAAAAUUAUGGAUGUUCCCUUCACAUGAAUUUUAAGUCUAAUAUAGAACCUUGUCUCAGGUAUGUGACUAAGAAUUAGUCACAUUAACAGAAGUUUUUAAUCUUGAACAAGGCAGUGUGUGUCCUUCCCUCUCCCACCAUAUGACAGAUUUGUCUCUUGAAAACUACGUCCUAGUGAUAUGAAAAUGAACAUAUCAACCUCAAUCCUUGAUGACAGUGCAGACACCCAAACCAAAA